AUACUUACCAUGCAGGGGAGCUAACAUCACAACAGUACUUGUCCCAGGGUGAGGCUUAUCCAUUGCGCUCCAGAUGUACUGACCCCUGCAAUUUCCCCAAAUGUGGGAAACUCAACUGCAUAAUUUUCAGUAGUGGGGAACUGCAUUCACACUUUCCUC
rnacentral:snRNA from 1 species